UCUUACCGUUAUCUAUUAUAUAUUAUUCUGACUAUCACUGAAAACAUGACAUGGAAUGCAGGAAGUGAACAACAUGUACUGUACAAGAUGUAGAUUGGAAGGGGGGUAGGAUUAAAUAAGAUUUGCUUCUUCCUACUCCUUUUGGACAUGCAGAACUGUGAAAAAAAAAAAAUGACUCAUGAGAUGUAUUCCAUUGUAACCUUCAUGUUCAAAUAAACUAAACCAAACCAAACCAAACCCUAAUGAGGAUAAGCGGCAUAGAAAAUGGAUGGAUGGAUGGAUGGAAGUUUCCAACAGGUUCACAAAACAUGAAAGACUGAUCCAGACAAUGUAUUAAUUCCAACAUCCGUCAUCCUAGGAAGACAACAAAUGAAGCUGUAAACAUGCAACAAACACCAUUAUUUAUAGCCAAGGCACUGUGGAAUCUGGAGUGUUGUUGUAUCUUCAAUAGUUCUGGAGCUAGAUCCAGCAUCAGAGGAACCUCCCAUGACGUGCAUUUUUAGCUGGCUCAUGCUAACUCACACAGAAAAGGGAAAGAAAUACUGUAUGUGUUCAUGUUUCACAUAAGGAUUGUGGAUGAUGGGCAAAAUUUCCAAAAAAGGGCAGUUUUCCUUGAAGCAUACAAACGUGGCUCACUUGAGUGAAAAUAUAGCUUUAAUUUGUGAGGCAGCGGAAUGUCAAAACAAUAUAUCAGGAUUGCAGUAUACUAUCCCAACACAACUUUUACUUUUGUACAAAGUUUAGUCACAACAACUUCAUGGAACAGAUUGCAUCCACGUGUUCCUCAUGAAUAAACCAUGCGUGAUAUUGUUACCGUGUACUCUACUGUACUCACUGUACUGUUUGUUCCGUGGCAGGAUGAUGCAGAGGUUACAUCUCUCUCUGUGAAAUAUGGAGGAGUGUUGCUUUUUCUGAGCUACACUGUUUGUGCUGCCUCAUCCCUUUAUCUUAGUCACCAUGGAGGCUGUCUGCAGCUUGACUCUGUUAAAUGUGGACACUGUGCACGAAAGAUCCAUCCUUUGGAGCCUCUGUUUGUGUUUAUGCUCAGGCAAUGUGAUUACUUUGUCAUAUUUAUUAUUUGCCACGACAAACACACAUCAACAUGCAUUUGUAAUACACUUUUUUGGAUGGGUAUAAUUAAUCAUGUUUUUACUGUACUUGCUCUCCUUACACCGCUUAUACGUAACCCCCCCGUCUAGUCUUCACUUGGCUGAAAGUGUCUCAUUGGCGUAUAUUAAAUCAAAAGCAACAGCACAUUAAUCCAUAUGCAAAUGUCUUAUUCAAUUACACAGUGCUACUGAGCAUAAGUCUUGUAGCUAAAUCUUUAAAAGUUAAGCUGCAAAUCCUCUUUUAGUCUGCAGCAGGGCCCCCCAGCUCUAAUAAUCAGGAUAUUGUUGUUUUUUGGUUCUAUGAAUUCCACAGAUUUCCGGUGACCUUUUGCAUAAGAGGGAGCGAGCGAGCGUGUGUGUGUGUCCGUGGGUGUGAGGGGUUGGAGUGGGUGUUUUUUUUUGUUAAAUGCCGUCACAUAAAAGCUCUUAAGAAAAGGUCACGUGGAUUUGUCUUCUAUUAUCAAAUUAGCCAGCACCAAUGCAUGCUAAAAUACAAACACUCAUAAUGGUUUAGAGAGCAUCAUGUGUGCCAUUAAAGUCAUCCUAGGAUGGUUCAUCGAAGGGCAGAAUGUCCUGUAUGCCAUACUUCCACAAAUGAUUUUUUAAAUUGAAAAUUAUUUAUUUUUAAAAUGACUUGAUUAUUGCAUGGGAUUCACAUGAAAGCUCCACAGAGUACAAUUUUAAUUCAAUUAUUUUCAACCAAUGAAACAAAUUAUGAACUACUUUAUUUCAUUUAUUUAUUUUAAUAUAUGUAAUUAAUUUGAAGGCCGCAUGUGGGCCGAGUGGUUAGCAUGUUGACAACACAGUCAGGAGAUCUGGAAGAUCUGGGUUCAAAUCUCCGUUGGGCAUCUCUGUGUGGCGUUUGCAUGUUCUCCCCUUUGGGUACGACGACUUCCUCCCACAUUCCAAACACAUACAUGUUAGGUUAAUUGACGACUCUAAAUUGUCCAUAGGUGUGAAUGGUUGUUUGUCUAUAUGUGCCCUGCCAUUGACUGGCGAUUAGUUCAGCGUGUACCUCGCGUCUCGCCUGAAGUCAGCUGGGCUAGGCUCCAACCCAGCGACUCUAGUGAGGAUAAAUGGCAUAGACAAUGGGUGGAUGGAUAGUUAAUUUGAUCUAAAUGUUUUAAUUUAACAUGUGUCCUGUUGUGAAGAUAUUGUUUUGAUCAUCAUUGCAAAUGUAGCCAAUUUGUAUUUGCAUUGAAUUUUAUUCAUCAUAGUAAUAAUAAUGCUUUAAUUUAUUUGGAACGUGUUACAUUUGCACCUUUCAACACUGAAACUGAAAAGGAGUAGGGAGAAGUAGACUUUAUUUGAUCCGACCUCCUCUCCAUGUCUCACCAGUUACUGAUAGUUGCUCUUUAUUUACGUGCAAGUCUAAAGAAAAAUGAAAACGAAAUGAAAUGAAAUGAAAUAAUAAAUACUUACCCUGUAACAUAAAUGUAAUGGAAGCUGUGCUGCAUGUCACUAGUCUCCUAGUGGCUUUUUAACGGUAUUGCUGGAAUAAAUACAUGUUGUGUAGUCUGUGCGUUUGAAUGCGUGGUUCUCAAUUAUUUUCUGUCAUGCCCCUACUGGGGACAGAAAUGUUUUCGUUAAGUAACAACAUCCUUCUGUGUUUCGGUAUUUAAAGUAGGAAUAUGUAGCCAUUUGCAAUUUUUAAAUAUCAGCUUUCAGCUCAUGUUCAUGCCACACUGCCUUGUGGUAAGGAUCACAUAAUCAAUAGCAGCUUUCACAUUCCAUUUGAAGUCUAUAAAAUUGCAUAUAAUGCAAAUUAGUUAUGAUUUGUGGGUAAUUUAAGUGUCAUCAUUCAUCAUUCAGGUCAUGGCCUUAAUUACUAAGUAGGUAUAAGUACAGUCAGUACUUCACGAAACUGAGGCAGCCAGCCCGUCAGUUACUAAUGCACACAAGCACAGAAUCUAGCAAAUACACUCCAGUUCCGACUGCAGGCUGCACUGUCUGGCUGCACAUCUCAACAGAGAAACAGAAUAUGAGGACGGACAAGUCUUAUUUUUCCUUCUCUGUGUUGCUGCCGAAGGUUAUUCACACUGGACAGCCGUCUAACACACUGCAUUACUGUGCAGUCAAAUCAAAUCAGCUGUGCAUGCGAGCUCAUACUGUAUGUGAGGAUAUAAGGGUCUGGAAAGGUUACAUCAGUACACACACUGCUGUGUAAAGGGUGUUGGAAGAUGUGCCUCUGUGAGUUAACCUGCCACGAAUGUCAGGAACUUGCGUGUGCUCUGCGCAAUUCAAUGUGUUUUGAUUGUAAUACUAAUACUAAUACUGCUAAUAAUACUUAUACUAAUACGACUACUAUACUCAUACUACUACUACUACUACUACUGUACUACUACUACUACUACUACUACUACUACUAAUAAUAAUAAUAAUAAUUGGAACUGAUCUACAAUUCAAAUGUGUGACGUUUACAUUUACAGCAUGUCUCUGAAAGCAGCACUGGGGUAUUACUGUUGGUAACCAAUGCUAUCUCCUCUUGUAGUCCAGUUAAACUGAACACGCAGUCUCAAAAUAACACCAUGAAUUGCCAGGAGUGUGUGAGGCAAUUAUAUUAAAAUAAUAAAAUAUCAGUUUUAUCUCUUAAUGAGCGCUAAUCUACUGUACUACGAUCGUGACGUUUUAAUUUACGGUAGGCGUGUGAACUCAGCACUUUGCUGACUCCUAUUCCACUAUUCACUCGAUGAUGAAAUAAAGAUAUAAAAAAGGUGUUACUGUAUGGUCAAAUGGCAGGUUAGUGUGUAGGAGUGUUAUAAGCAAAAGUACAUAUAGCCUUUUCAGGACAGAGCUAAUGUGCCAAAAUCAUUAUUGGACGGUGAAGUUGUAAUUUACGGGGUUCCAGUGAAAGCAGCACGGCAGUGGGAACCUUCGCGAUUCCUUUUAGACCUGCAAACUCAAACAUUUUAGUUGUUGCUGAGUUGUUUCGUUUGAACAGGUUUAUCUGGUCGUUAAUUAGUCGCCAUAUUUGAAUGAAGCAGCUAGAAAGAAGGUCGGGUGUCUCAGAUUUUUUAGUUUUAAAUCAACAUCCAGGGAUUGUAGCAGGCUGCUCUAACUAAUUGUCUAUGUAGACAUGUGGACUGGACUGUUGGAGGUCUGGAAUGUUCUAUAUCUACAAGAGCUGCCUUGGAAUGCUCAGAAUUUGAGCAGAAAUUCCCCAAGAAAUGUCAUCCAUUCUGCUUGUGGCCCCUAGAAGCUACAGAAAUAAGGCGCCAUCUUUGAUGAGUCGGCGCGGAAGGACGACGAAGUGUUUCGCCUAGCGGUGGCGGACCUCAACCUGAACAACGAGAUCCUGGAGACAGAGAAGAUCACCAUCUCUGUGGAAUUUGUGGAUGGGAACAACCCCUUCCAGGCUGUGCAAGAAGCCUGCGAGCUGAUGAACCGCGGCAUCCUGGCCCUGGUCAGCUCCAUCGGCUGCAUGUCGGCGGGCAGCCUCCAGACUCUGGCCGACGCCAUGCACAUCCCUCACCUCUUCAUUCAGCGCUCCACGGCGGGCACGCCUCGCUCGGCCUGCCCGCCCACCAGCCGCAGCCACGGGGCCGACGACUACACGCUGAUGGUGCGCCCACCCGUCUAUCUCAACGAGGUCAUCAUGCAGGUGGUGUCAGAGUACAGCUGGCAAAAGUUUGUGCUCUUCUACGACUCGGAUUUUGACAUCCGCGGCAUCGAGGACUUCCUGGACAGCGCCUCCCACCAGGGCAUGGACGUGUCCUUGCAGAAAGUAGAGUCCAACGUCAACAUGAUGAUCACCAGCCUGUUCAGGACCAUGCGAGUGGAGGAGCUGCAUCGCUACCGGGACACGCUGCGCAGAGCCGUGCUGUUCAUGAGCCCAGCCACCGCCAAGGCGUUCAUCUCCGAGGUGGUGGAGACCAACCUGGUGGCUUUUGAUUGCCACUGGAUCCUCAUCAAUGAGGAGAUCUCCGACUACGACCUACAGGACUUGGUGAUGAAGUCGGUGGGCCGGCUGACGGUGGUGCGUCAGACCUUCCCCAUGCCGCAGAACGCCACCCAGCGCUGCGUCAAGCACAACCAUCGGAUUAACACAUCCCUCUGCGACCCCAAGAGCCCCAAGGCACAGCAGCUGGAGAUCACCAACCGCUACAUCUAUGACUCGGUGCUGCUGCUGGCCAACACCUUCCACAGGAAGCUGGAGGACAGGAAGUGGCACAGCAUGGCCAGUCUCAGCUGCAUCAGGAAAAACUCCAAACCCUGGCAAGGGGGGAAGAGCAUGCUGGAUACUGUCAAAAAGUUUGGCGUCAGCGGACUCACCAGCUUCCUGGAGUUCACAGACAACGGCACCAAUCCCAACAUCUUCUUUGAAAUCCUGGGGACAAACUACGGCGAGGACAGAGGGCGGGGAGUCAGCAGGCUGGCUACGUGGGAUCCGGUCCACGGCCUGAAUGGCACUUUGACGGACAGGAAGUUGGAGAACAACAUGCGAGGAGUGGUGCUGAGAGUUGUCACGGUCUUGGAGGAGCCGUUUGUGAUGGUCUCUGAGAACGUUCUGGGCAAACCCAAGAAGUAUCAGGGCUUCUCCAUAGACGUCCUGGACGCUCUCUCCAACUACUUGGGUUUCAAGUACGAGAUCUACAUCGCGCCGGACCACAAGUACGGCAGCAUGCAGCCUGACGGACAGUGGAACGGACUGAUGGGGGAGCUGGUUUUUAAGCGGGCCGACGUCGGACUCUCCGCCCUGACCAUCACGCCGGAGCGCGAGAGCGUCGUGGACUUCACCACGCGCUACAUGGACUACUCGGUGGGCGUCCUGCUGCGCAAGGCCGAGCGCACGGUGGACAUGUUCGCCUGCCUGGCGCCCUUCGACCUGUCACUGUGGGCGUGCAUCGCGGGCACCGUGCUGCUGGUCGGCAUCCUGGUCUACUUGCUCAACUGGCUCAACCCGCCCCGGCUGCCCAUGGGGUCCGUGUCGUCCACCACGCUCUACAACUCCAUGUGGUUCGUGUACGGAUCGUUCGUACAGCAAGGUGGAGAGGUGCCCUACACCACCCUGGCAACACGAAUGAUGAUGGGUGUUUGGUGGAUGUUCGCUCUCAUCGUCAUCUCCUCCUACACAGCCAAUUUAGCAGCCUUCCUGACCAUCACGCGUAUAGAGAACUCCAUACAGUCCCUCCAAGACUUGUCCAAGCAGACCGAGCUUCCUUACGGCACCGUGUUGGACUCUGCCGUGUACGACCAGGUGCGCUCCAAGGCCAUGAACCCUUUCGAAAGAGACCCCAUGUACUCACAGAUGUGGCGGAUGAUCAACCGCACGGGAGGCGCCGAGAACAACGUGGAAGAGUCCAAGGAGGGCAUCCGAAAGGUGAAGUACGGCCGCUUUGGCUUUGUGUGGGACGCCGCUGUCCUGGAGUAUGUCGCCAACAACGACGAGGAUUGCUCCUUCUACACGGUGGGCAGUAACGCACCGGACCGUGGCUACGGCAUCGCCAUGCAGCACGGCAGUCCCUACAGAGACAUUUUCUCCCAGAGAAUCUUGGAGCUUCAGCAGAAUGGUGACAUGGAUAUACUCAAACUCAAGUGGUGGCCCAGGGACAGCCCCUGUGACCUGUACAGCUCGGUCCAGUCGCGGCAGCACAGCAGCGCCCUGGACAUCCACAGCUUUGCCGGCGUCUUCUGCGUCCUGGCGGCCGGCGUGGUGCUCUCCUGUCUCAUAGCCAUGGUGGAAAGCUGGUGGUCUCGGAGGAAGGGAUCCAGGGUCCCCUCCAAGGAGGACGAUAAGGAGAUCGACCUGGAGCACCUACACCGCAGGGUUAACAGCCUGUGCACAGAGGAUGAAAGCCCCCACAAGCAGUUCUCCACCUCUUCCGUCGAUCUGACGCCCCUCGAUAUGGAUGCGCUGCCGGCCGCGCGCCAGGCCCUGGAGCAGAUAAGCGAUUUCCGCAACACUCACAUCACCACCACCACCUUCAUCCCCGAGCAGAUCCAGACCCUCAGCCGCAGCCUGUCCGCCAAAGCCGCCGCCGGGUUCUCCGCUGGUUUCGGCAGCGGUGGCGGAGGCGGCCUCCAGGACCACCGGACUGGUGGGGUCGGCCCUUUCAGGCAGAGGGCCCCCAACGGCGGCUUCUUCCGCAGCCCCAUUAAAACAAUGUCCUCCAUCCCCUACCAGCCCACAGGCCCCGGACCUAACUUUGGAUACGGCAACGACCCAGACAGGGGUACUUCCAUAUAAGUUGCUUGGAAUGCGGAUGGGUUGAGAGGAAGAGGAGAGAGGGUUACGGUACGAUAUGACGGGUGUUACAACGUAAACACACUGCUACGUGAAAGAGUUGGCGGAUAGACAUCUGAUCUGUGUACAUAGGAUCUUUUACGGUUUCAGUUUGCAUUUUGUAUAAGAGGGGGAGGAGGAGGUGUUCUGCUUGGACAUACCUUGUCCUUGUGAAGCCCAUUUCGGUACAGGUGCAAAAAGGGGUUGAUUUUCUUUUUUUUUUUUUUUUGCUUUAUUGAUGUUGUUAUUGUGAUUGAUUGGGGAGGUCAUUUGUGUGUGUGUGUGUGCGUGUGUGUGAUCUUUUUGCUUGAUAACGCGAGGACUGCCUCGUAUACCGGAGAUGACCUGACUCCUAUUCCUGUCUACAACCACCCCUGAAGAACUUUUUGGUGCUGGUCCAGCCAUGAAACGAGGGAUUGACAAGACUAUAGAAUCUAUAGUUUUGUCUGGAUCCCUAAGAGACCUCUACUUCAGCACCAGUUCAGUGUUCAACCCCCCCUUCUCACUCCAAAUGUCCGAUCUUCUCGAGGUGACCAGACAACUGAACAAAUUCAGACACCUUCCUGCGGUGCAUCAGAAAUGUCAAAAGCCCAUGACAGCGGGUCCUAACGAUACUGUAGAAAAACUAGCUAGUCUGGUGCGACUCUGAACUGUCUCUGCCAUUUUGGUGCAUCCAACCCGCAACGUGACUUGACCAUUCUUUGAUGCACAUUGAAGACUUCUUUGUGAAUCCCACUGCACUGCACCAGUGCCCACAGACAUGUAAGUGAUUGUAUGUAGAGCUGAUCAUUUUCUUUUCCUCACAUGUACUGUAUUAUCUGCUUUCCAGGUCAUGGUGAGACCUUUCAAUCAGACUCUUCAAAAGCAUACAAACAAAAAGGGAAGAUAGUGGGGGAGGGAAAAAAACAACAACAAAACAUCAAAGGAUUUCCAAGCAGAGGCUUAUUAUAUGUCUUUUAAUGAGAUUUGUUUUCCAAAAAAUAUAUUUUACUGCGUGGAAUGUGUUUUGGUCAGGAAAAAAAGAACAUUGUUCCAAGCUGUCUAAUUGUUUGAGCUGCUUAAAUGAGUACUGUAGUCUCUGUUCUUUGCUUCAUUAUUUCAAACCUUAUUAUUUGAACAUUGGUUAAAAGAUCGCUUUCCAAGGUCAGAUCGUGUUUAAGUACAUUGUUCAGUUCCGGUAUGCAUCAAGUGGCUAAAUGUGUUCUGGGUUGAGGAGACGCCAUUGCAUCAGCAUUUUCAAAGCAACUAAGUCGCUUUAACCCCCCACCAAACUGCCAGCCAAGCCCUGAAUAUCCUAGCAAAGCGGAAACAGCAGCCGCCGUGCUUUGGGAAUGGCAUAAGCAAUCACUUUCUUUUCUGUAAUGAUAAGUGUACUGUUUAUAUGACUUGAUUUAAAGUGCCAACUAAUUCCAACAAGGUGCCAUUAAGGUGCAUUUCCGCUGAGAAAAAGAGAGUGGGCAGUAUAUUAAGAGCAUUUUUGGGUGGGUUGGUUUAAAAUGCAAUCGAAGCUGUCAUUGACACUUAAUAAUUGAUAAUGUUAUAGUUGUUUAGAGCAAGUUUUCGGUUUAUCCUUAAGAACUAAAAUGUUGUGCAUUAGAGGACUUGGUCAAGCAAAAAGCAUUCUUAGAUUCUUUUUUUUUACGUGAUUAGGAUGCAGUAUGGCUGCUGAAUGGCAAAUAGACAUACAUUUAUAAAGGUUUUAUUUAGUAUAAAUGAGAGACAUUAUUAAUGGAAAAAAUGUAUAUUUUACAUGUUAAUGCUAUUUUUGUUAAACAAAGACGAAGCUGUAUCAUAAUGAGCUGUAGUGUUGAGUUGAUUUUCUUUAAUCAUGCCAACCACUCUUGAUUUACAUCAUCAGCAUAUUUGCUUCAUUUUAUUAUUUACUGGCUAAAAUAACAGAAAUUGGCAAGUUCUUGAUUAAAAAGAAGCAUGCACAAACUUGCUCCUGUGCUAUCUGUUGACAUUUUCCUUUAAUUUUAACCAAUAGAAAUACAGGAUUUAUUCGAUAAUUUUCAACAACAACAACAACAAAAGAAAAUAUGAUGUACAGUAUUUAAUAUAGGCCUAUUUUGUCGUAUGUGUUGCAUAUUAUUCAAAACUGAACAAACCGGAGGCCUCUGUUACAGGUGGCAAAGCUUUCUGUGUAUAAUUUGUCUAAUAAACAGGUUUUCUACAGUGGGAUCGUAUUUGUUGUUUUUGCAAAGACAAACCGACAACAGAUCAACCAAUGACACAUAAAUGAAGCAGUGUGAGACGUUGGCCACUAGAUGUCAGCAGAGGCAAGUAUACUUGACCAUACCAUUCAGGUCAGUGUUUUAUUGUUUUCAUAGACUUACUGGUGUCUGGGGUUGUUGUUAUUCCAUGUUUUAUUCGUGUGUAAUGAUUUGUAAUUGAAGGCCAAAAUACCUAUUUGAAUAGGUUUUGAUGACCUGGAAUCGUUCGCAAGCAUACAGAGCCACGUUGUAGUUUGCCUGUGUGACCACGCAGUGUCGCUGUUUCUUCCCGAGAUGUCAAGAUCAUCACGAAUACAGUACUUUGAUCAGUGAUUUGCAUGAUCAUCACAGGUUACACGUGUGCGUGUCUGCGUGUGUCAGAAGGAGAUCUAGAGCCCAGCUCACAUUUCCCUUCCCCGUGAAGCCUCGCACACCGACAGGGCGUCCUGAGGCUCGGAUCAAAAGAGUUUGGAAGCGCGACAAAAGCCAACUGAAACUGGAGAGGAUGGAAGAAUGAAAGGAUGGAUGGAUGUGGAAAGAGCACCCCAACCCGCCCCAUCCUUUUUUUUUCAAACACAGAACUCCACUCAACAGUCAGUCAACCUCCAAGACUUCGAUAUGCUCAUCUUUCGCUUGUAUUUGUUGCAUUUGUAUCGACCGUUGCAAAUUUCGUUCAAGAGUUUCCAUGCAUUCAUGUGCAUUUUCCAAGAAAAGUAUAUUGCCAUGGUAUUUAUUUAUUACCUCAGGUGAAUUAAAAACAAUAUGAUCCCCAUUCAAAGUAAUGGAAAUGUAACUGCUCCGUCACCGUGAUAAAGUGUAAAAAUAAGUUAACCAUGUUGUAAUAAAAGCAAUGAAAUAUAAACUCAACCGUUGAUGUGAGUGAUAGUGAGCAGUGAUGGUGAGUGCAUCAUACCUUUCCGUUCUUUAUGCUAAUAGUUGACUGGAGCCAUAUUGUACUGAGCAGCCUGAACAGACGCCUAUGGCUGACCAUUACAUUUGAUAACUGCAAGAACCAAGAGCGCAAGGGUCCACUUAUGUAAAAAAAAAACAAAAAAAACAAUUUUAAGCGACUGUUGCCUUUAAUAUUAAAUACAGGGUUCCUACACAAGUAUGGAAUUUGACUUUAUACAUUUCCAAGGCUGGAAAAGUAUGGAAAAUGGACACUCAAGUAUGGAAAAACAUUCAUGUUUUCAAGAGUGUUACCACUGUUCUGUUGUGGAAAAGAUAAAUGAUGAAUAACUGGGGGGGGGAACAAAUGGAUCGAUCUGUUAUCCUCAUCAACCAACCCUUUGUAUGAGCUACAUUACCUAGUUGUAAUCUCUUGGAAAUUGUAUGGAGACAUAGUGGCAUACAUAUUCAAAAUAAUGAAAACAAACAAUUCCAUCAUUUUUUGACAUGAUAUUAUAGGGCUCCAACUCACGAUUAUUUUCUUAGUCGAUUAAUCUGACGCUUGUUGUGUUGAUUAAUCAAGUAAUCGGUUAGGCCCCUACACAGACCAAAUCAGUAUGAGCCCAACACAGUUAGUGACUGUUUGGUUCGCAACAUAUCAGAAAAGAGGCAGAAAAUGUCCAUCACUGUUUCAGUUUCAUGUCAAAAAACGAUGUAUGGAAUACCAAAAUAGUUGCCGAUUAAUGGGAUAACUGAGUAAUCAGCUAUUAAUUGAAACUACGAGCCAAGCGUUCACUUACGUUCACAAAAAAUAAAUUAAAAAAUCAGGCCGUUUCCUUCAAGAUUCAACACAGGUCACUUUACUGUUCUACUUUAGUUGUUAUUAUUGUUGAUUUAGCAAUGACAAACCACUAUACAUUCGUUAACUACACGUCCAGUUUAUGCCAAGAAAAGGGGCAGUUGCCAUAACGAUUCAACACAGGUCACAUCCCAGUUCUGCUUUUGAUACAAUAUAUUGGUUCACGGGUACAAGGGUUCACUUGUGUAAAAAAAAAAAAAAAAAAAAGUGCAGUUGCCGUAAAGACUAAACGCAGGUCACUUUCUGGUUCUACUUUCGUUAUUAUUGUUAGCAUUAUUGUUGUUGAUUUAGCAGUUUUGGACAGAGUUGUGUUUACAGCUUUCAACAUAAAUAAAUGUCAAGUCUUCAUCACACUUUUCUGGGAUAUGUCAUCACUGGUACACCUUCCUUUG